CCUACGGGAGGCAGCAGUGAGGAAUAUUGGUCAAUGGACGAGAGUCCGAACCAGCCAAGUAGCGUGAAGGAUGACUGCCCUAUGGGUGGUAAACUUCUUUUAUAAAGGAAUAAAACGAGGCACGUGUGCCUUUUUGCAUGUACUUUAUGAAUAAGGAUCGGCUAACUCCGUGCCAGCAGCCGCGGUAAUACGGAGGAUCCGAGCGUUAUCCGGAUUUAUUGGGUUUAAAGGGAGCGUAGAUGGGUUGUUAAGUCAGUUGUGAAAGUUUCCGGCUCAACCGUAAAAUUGCAAUUGAUACUGGCAGUCUUGAGUACAGUAGAGGUAGGCGGAAUUCGUGGUGUAGCGGUGAAAUGCUUAGAUAUCACGAAGAACCCCGAUUGCGAAGGCAGCUUACUAAACUGUGACUGACAUUGAUGCUCGAAAGUGUGGGUAUCAAACAGGAUUAGAUACCCCAGUAGUC
rnacentral:rRNA from 1 species